rnacentral:miRNA from 1 species
CGAGUCCGAGGAAGGAACUCC